GGAGGUGUUGGGUUCAAGG
rnacentral:siRNA from 1 species